rnacentral:rRNA from 1 species
GAUGAACGCUGGCUGCGUGCCUAAUACAUGCAAGUCGAGCGAACGGACGAGAAGCUUGCUUUUCUGAUGUUAGCGGCGGACGGGUGAGUAACACGUGGAUAACCUACCUAUAAGACUGGGAUAACUUCGGGAAACCGGAGCUAAUACCGGAUAAUAUUUUGAACCGCAUGGUUCAAAAGUGAAAGACGGUCUUGCUGUCACUUAUAGAUGGAUCCGCGCUGCAUUAGCUAGUUGGUAAGGUAACGGCUUACCAAGGCAACGAUGCAUAGCAGACCUGAGAGGGUGAUCGGCCACACUGGAACUGAGACACGGUCCAGACUCCUACGGGAGGCAGCAGUAGGGAAUCUUCCGCAAUGGGCGAAAGCCUGACGGAGCAACGCCGCGUGAGUGAUGAAGGUCUUCGGAUCGUAAAACUCUGUUAUUAGGGAAGAACAUAUGUGUAAGUAACUGUGCACAUCUUGACGGUACCUAAUCAGAAAGCCACGGCUAACUACGUGCCAGCAGCCGCGGUAAUACGUAGGUGGCAAGCGUUAUCCGGAAUUAUUGGGCGUAAAGCGCGCGUAGGCGGUUUUUUAAGUCUGAUGUGAAAGCCCACGGCUCAACCGUGGAGGGUCAUUGGAAACUGGAAAACUUGAGUGCAGAAGAGGAAAGUGGAAUUCCAUGUGUAGCGGUGAAAUGCGCAGAGAUGUGGAGGAACACCAGUGGCGAAGGCGACUUUCUGGUCUGUAACUGACGCUGAUGUGCGAAAGCGUGGGGAUCAAACAGGAUUAGAUACCCUGGUAGUCCACGCCGUAAACGAUGAGUGCUAAGUGUUAGGGGGUUUCCGCCCCUUAGUGCUGCAGCUAACGCAUUAAGCACUCCGCCUGGGGAGUACGACCGCAAGGUUGAAACUCAAAGGAAUUGACGGGGGCCCGCACAAGCGGUGGAGCAUGUGGUUUAAUUCGAAGCAACGCGAAGAACCUUACCAAAUCUUGACAUCCUUUGACAACUCUAGAGAUAGAGCCUUCCCCUUCGGGGGACAAAGUGACAGGUGGUGCAUGGUUGUCGUCAGCUCGUGUCGUGAGAUGUUGGGUUAAGUCCCGCAACGAGCGCAACCCUUAAGCUUAGUUGCCAUCAUUAAGUUGGGCACUCUAAGUUGACUGCCGGUGACAAACCGGAGGAAGGUGGGGAUGACGUCAAAUCAUCAUGCCCCUUAUGAUUUGGGCUACACACGUGCUACAAUGGACAAUACAAAGGGCAGCGAAACCGCGAGGUCAAGCAAAUCCCAUAAAGUUGUUCUCAGUUCGGAUUGUAGUCUGCAACUCGACUACAUGAAGCUGGAAUCGCUAGUAAUCGUAGAUCAGCAUGCUACGGUGAAUACGUUCCCGGGUCU